rnacentral:rRNA from 1 species
GACGAACGCUGGCGGCGUGCCUAAUACAUGCAAGUAGAACGCGGAAGGAGGAGCUUGCUUCUCUGGAUGAGUUGCGAACGGGUGAGUAACGCGUAGGUAACCUGCCUGGUAGCGGGGGAUAACUAUUGGAAACGAUAGCUAAUACCGCAUAAGAGUAGAUGUUGCAUGACAUUUGCUUAAAAGGUGCAAUUGCAUCACUACCAGAUGGACCUGCGUUGUAUUAGCUAGUUGGUGAGGUAACGGCUCACCAAGGCAACGAUACAUAGCCGACCUGAGAGGGUGAUCGGCCCACCUGGGCCUGGGACACGGCCCAGACUCCUACGGGAGGCAGCAGUCGGGAAUCUUCGGCAAUGGCCGGAAGUCUGACCGAGCAACGCCGCGUGAGUGCAGAAGGUUUUCGGAUCGUAAAGCUCUGUUGUAAGAGAAGAACGAGUGUGAGAGUGGAAAGUUCACACUGUGACGGUAUCUUACCAGAAAGGGACGGCUAACUACGUG